CCAAUAGCGUAUAUUAAAGUUGUUGCAGUUAAAAAGCUCGUAGUUGAAUUUCGGGAUCAAAUUGUCGGUCGUGCCUCGGUACGUACUGGCGUUAUUGGUUCCUACCUUCUGAAGAACCACGAUGUCAUUAAUUUGGUGUCGCGGGGAAUCAGGACUGUUACUUUGAAAAAAUUAGAGUGUUUAAAGCAGGCUCGCGCUUGAAUACAUUAGCAUGGAAUAAUGAAAUAGGACGUUUGAUUCUAUUUUGUUGGUUUCUAGGAUCGACGUAAUGAUUAAUAGGGAUAGUUGGGGGCAUUAGUAUUCAAUUGUCAGAGGUGAAAUUCUUGGAUUUAUUGAAGACUAACUACUGCGAAAGCAUUUGCCAAGGAUGUUUUCAUUAAUCAAGAACGAAAGUUAGGGGAUCGAAGACGAUCAGAUACCGUCGUAGUCUUAACCAUAAACUAUGCCGACUAGGGAUCGGAUGAUGUUAAUUUUUUAAUGACUCAUUCGGCGCCUUACG
rnacentral:rRNA from 1 species